AGUCACUAAGAUUGAAGAUCAGUCUCAUUCACAACCAUUAAAGUCAAUAACUUUGGUGGCUAUGUGGAAAAUUCACAAGCAAACAAGUUUGAAAUGUCAACAAAAGCAAUUUGCUAUCAUAAAGUCAAUAACUUUGGCAAGAGGAAACCCUAAUAACCACAACAUCGAGUCAAUUUCACUAAUUAGCAGACAAAAGAUCAUAAAGUCAACAACUUUGGCUAGAGGUAACGCUAAUAACCGCAAUUGAGAUGUCAAUUUCACCAAUUAAGAAGAACCCAAAUCGAGGAUGACUCUUGAUGAUGAUUCAUUACCGUGGUGAGAGUAGGCGAAGACGGCUCGAGGAGGAUGAUGAGGAGAUUCUGACGUCAGCGGCGGAGAUUGUGAUUAGGCGAUCAAAUCAAACGAAGCAGGAGGGGUAAUAUGGUAAAUGUAGCAUGCGUGUUUAAUCGCCCUAGCGAGGCUUUUGCGAAUACAGUUUGCGUGUUUAAUCGCCCUAGCGAGGCUUUUGCGAAUACAGUUUAAAUGAUUUAUAUGCAUAAUUUUAAACAUUAUAUAUGUAUAUAUUAUAAGUUUGAAACAUGUAAAUGCUUUCUAAAGCUAAAUACUUGUUCUGAGUUUACAUAACUUAUCGAAAGUUUUAUCU